AAAUUAAUCCCUGGAGAAGGGGAACAAGAGGGACAAAGGACAUUGUUGUCCAUUGUCCCUCUUGUUCCUCUUCUCCAGGGAUUAUUUUCG
rnacentral:pre_miRNA from 1 species